ensembl:lncRNA
GUCUAAUGAGUCAUGACAUGAAGCCCGGAGCCGUCCUCCCACGCACGCCUCUCCCCGUCCUUAUUUGAGGCGCUCCUGGGCUGCAGACCUCAGAGCAGCAGCGCAGCUCUGUCCGGCUUCUGCGGAGGGACGGGAGCUGGUCUCACAGCGGUUCCACCCACCCUUCAACAACAUGAGACCCAUCCUGGUAGUCGUUACUUGUCUUCUUACAGAAAGUCUAGCGCUUCCACUCAGCCAAGAGGGACAGAGAGAAGACGUGGUAACACGAUGUUUGGCUGAAGUCCUGUCCAAAGCUCUCUCCACACCGGACGCUCAGUUGGAUCAGGAAUGCAGAGACAUCAUAAAAGCAGGGGUUAAUCACGCCUCGCUGAGCAAGAAGAGCAGCGAUGGACUCGUAACACAAGAGGAGGCGUCUAAAGGUCACACUGAGGAACCUGCAGCAAAGGCAGCAGAUGUGAAAGACAUUGAAGCGCUUCUGAAAUCCGUGGAGGAGGAGAGAGCAAACCUUGAAGAUGAGCACAAUCAGCAAUCCUGGAGUCUGGGAGACAGAACGUCAGAGAAUGGAGAUGGAGGAGAACGGGUGAAAAGGAGCAGCUGGAGGCUUGGAAGGUACCGCCAGAGGAAAAGCAAACGCGGAGAGGAGGAAGAUUUUGAGCGUAGUCAGGAGAGCUGGGGAGGCACGGAAAAGAGGUCGGAGGAUGAAGAAGUGGCCGAGGAAAGUGAAGAAAAAGAGAAGAGGAGCUGGAGACCCGGCAGGUAUCAUCAAAGAAGACACAAGCGAGAUGACGGAGAAGAAGAAGAACCGGAGGAAGAGCGCAGCCAGGAGUCCUGGGAUGUAAACAAAAGGUACGAGGAUGAGGAGGAAAGAGAUAAGCGCAUAUGGAAGCCCACACAUCGUUACCAUCACAAGUCAAGGCUCCACAAGCGCAGCGAUGAUCCGCUGGAGGGCGAGGUUGAUGAGGACCGCAGCCAGGAGUCUUGGAGUGUUGACAAGAAGAACUGGAGGCCUGGAAGGUAUCACCAGAGGAGACAUAAGCGUGAUGAAGAACCUCUGGAAAACGCUCGGGAAGAACCGGAUGAAGAACGCAGUCAGGAAUACUGGGAUGUUGAUACUGGAGUAGAGAAACGGAACUGGAGGCCAGGCAGAAUCCACCAAAGGAGACACAAGCGUGAUGAAGAGCCAUCCGAGGGCAACCGGGAAGAACCGGAUGAAGAACGCAGUCAGGAAUACUGGGAUGUUGAUACUGGAGUAGAGAAACGGAACUGGAGGCCGGGCAGAUUCCACCAAAGGAGACACAAGCGUGAUGAAGAGCCAUCCGAGGGCAACAUGGAAGAGCCAGAGGAAGAACGCAGUCAGGAAUACUGGGAUUUUGAUACUGGAGUAGAGAAACGGAACUGGAGGCCGGGCAGAUUCCACCAAAGGAGACAACGACGUGAUGAAGAGCCAUCCGAGGGCAACCGGGAAGAACCGGAUGAAGAACGCAGUCAGGAAUACUGGGAUUUUGAUACAGGAAUGGAGAAACGGAACUGGAGGCCGGGCAGAUUCCACCAGAGGAGACAACGACGUGAUGAAGAGCUACCAGAGGAGGCCAGAGAGGAACCGGAAGGAGGACGCAGUCAGGAGGACUGGGGUUAUGAAAAGAGACAGGAAACAGAAGAGGGAGAAAUAGAGAAAAGGAUAUGGAAGCCGACACACAGAUACCACCAUAAACAAAGACUUAACAAGCGAGCAGGAGGACCGUCGGAGGAAGAGCAGAGGGGAACUUCGGAUGAAUACACAGAAGAUGAGAAAGACAGAGAUGAAGCUUUGAGGUAUCUGGCUGAGAAGCGUAAUCCCUGGAUCUCCAGAGGCUACUACCACCCUGCCUGGUAUAAACGGGAUUCAGAGGAACCAGCUGCUGCUUCAAACAAGGUGAUAAAAUCCUUUUCUAGUUUUCAGCCGUUUGUGCAGAUGUCCAACCGUUCAAACUUUUUAACUGCAUGCAAGGCUGCGGACUUUAAGGUAACCCUUCGUUUAACCUCUGUUGGACUGGUUCAGAUGGACCAACUGGCCCAGCUGCUGAGCUACAGGAUCAACCAGCUGGCUCACCACUCUGCUCAGGAGGAGGCAAAGACGACGAGGGCGCUCACUCCACCGGAGGUAUACAUGCUGCCUAUCCUCCACUCAUGA